rnacentral:rRNA from 1 species
UACGUAGGCAGCGAGCGUUGUUCGGAAUUACUGGGCGUAAAGAGUGUGUAGGCGGUGCUCCCAGUCUGUUGUGAAAUCUCCCGGCUUAACUGGGAGGGUGCAGCGGAAACUAGAGUGCUAGAGGGUGGGAGAGGUAAGCGGAAUUCCUGGUGUAGCGGUGAAAUGCGUAGAUAUCAGGAGGAACACCGGUGGCGAAGGCGGAUCUCUGGGCCAUUACUGACGCUGAGGAGCGAAAGCGUGGGGAGCGAACAGG